rnacentral:lncRNA from 1 species
CCCGCCUGGCUUCACCUCUCAGUAUGUAGCUUUCUAACUCCACUUUUAAAACCUUAAAUGUCAUAUUUAAUAUAACUGAUGGUACGGUAAAAGAUGAGGUUGUUUAAAAAGUAAAAUCAUCACUCAGUGAACAUGCUUACUUUUAACACGUAACUGAGACAACAGAGAAUUAUGAAACUACCCUGAUAUGUAGAUCCCAGGGAAGAGGAGGGACCAACAACUUAGAAAGCAGGACAUUGCCUACACAGCAAGUUCCUCUAACUUCGUGCUCCAAGACAGGUCUCUCCUCCAGAGCUGACGGUGGAUUUACAGACCAAAGCAUGUCCCCAUGGAACUCUCACCUCCAGGGGCGUGCCUCGGAACUGCCAUCCUCCAGGGGUGACCUAGGAACUCAUACGCACCAGGACAGCACAUCGAAAGCAUGACCACUUGGCUACUUUUACAACUGAACUCUGCACAGGAAGGUGCCAACUCAACUGCCUGAGAGAGAUUUGGAUAUCCACCUUCCUGUUGACUUGCCCAGAUGUCUAUCACGGUGCCUUCCGUAUCCCAGGAGGACGUUGAACAUUGGCAGGCAUGCCUAGCUGAAAGCCGAUGCACCGAGGCCUGCUCCAUGCUAAGGCUGUAAUUCUUCACCCCAAGAAUCUUCAUUCUGGUCUUCAAGUAUUCAAGGCUUAUCCAAAGUUGCAUCAUCCAUCAUUAUUCUCGGGCAUAUUAAAGCCGUGACUUUGCUUGCCCUCAGGAAAUUAAACAUCUGUCAGUCACCAGGAGUCACAAUCCACAGAAGACAGUGAGUAGGAGGAUGCCACAGAACCCAUCGUGUUUCCUGCCGUAUUAAAGCAGGGCUGUGCUGUCAUCAGCCUGCGAUGUGCCAUUUAUUAUGCAGCACCCCAUCAUCUGGCUUCUGUCUCAACCAACAUACUGAAACUGCUUCAUAAAGUCAUCAGUGUAUUUUUAAUUGCCAAGUUGAUUGGACAUUUCACAGCCAUUAUUCCUGACUUUUAUAAGCAUUUGACAUGACUGAUCAUUCAUUUCUUGAAAUUCUGUUUUUUCCAGACGGCCGUGAUAAACACUCUGAACAUUGUUCUUGCGCUUUCACGGCUAUCCCAUUUCUUUUUUUUCUAAUGCCUUUUGUUCCUCCCCAUUCCUUGAGUAUGGGUGUUCCCCAGACCUGUUGCUUCAGUCGUGUGGUCUAAAUACAUACUUUCCCUAGGAACUGUAUUCUCUAAUGUAGAAGAAUAAUGUUCCUUUACUUAUGUAUGUUGUAUUGAUCAAGCUUUUAGUAUGACAACAUAUACUAUAUUAAGUUCUGAGGAUAAUAUCACAGGGAAAAAUCUCUGGCUUUAAGGAAUAUAUUGUCCAAUGGGAGAAACAUAAAAGCAAGCAAGCAAUUACAAGGCAAUGAACUACUGUGAUGAUGGGGAUGUACAGGGUUCAGGGCACACACAGGAGGAUAGCUAACUUACACUUGGGAAAUUAGAGAAGAUUCUCAUAGGAAAAAAAUCACCAAUGUGUCAUCAUAAUAAUAACAGAAGCAGUAGGGCAUUCCAAGCCAAGACAGCACUGUGCUUGAGGAGCUGUAAUUCAGCUACAUAGUUCAGUAGAUCAGCUAUUGAAUCAAGGACAAUAGGAGAGGUUGGGUCACACAGAUGCUGAACAAUCAACCUACUGGGAUGAAGGACAUUGUGUGCACCACUGCAGCCUUUGGUUCUCACGCCGACAGCCCUGAGGAUUCACAGACUUCAAAGAAGAGCAUGACUUAAUGUUUCAGAAGGUUUUUGGAAGCUCACUCCAUACAAAAGAAGGAUUAGAAGUAGGAUAUACAGUUAGCAAUCAGCACCCACGGGCUCUGCAUCCAUGGGUUCAACCACGUGCAGAUUGAAAAGGCAGUUAGGCCUAUGAUCAUUGCAUCUCUACUGAAAAAUGUACAGACUUGAUGUUAUUCCCCAAACGAUACAGUAAAACAACUGUUUCCAUAGCAUUUACAUCACGUUAGGUAUUAUAGGCAGUCUAGAGAUGGUUUAAGUACACGGAGUAUGUGUGUCAGUGACAUGCAAACAAGACACCGUUUUGUAUAAGGGACUUGAGCAUCUGUGGAUUUUGGUAAAAAAAUUCAUGGGGUUCCUGGAAGCAAUCCCUAGCAGAUACCAAGGGAUGACUGAAUUUGAGAUAAGAACAAUAUCUAAGAACUCUCCAGCUCAGUUUGAUAAAAUAUUACUUAAGCCUACUAUGUACCAAGCACUUUAAAGUGCUGAGUGUUAAAGGCUUGCUUAAGAGUAAUGUGUAUAGUAAAAUCCCAUUAAAUCAAAGCCAAACAUCAAAGAAAAACAAAAAAGAACUCUAAUGUUCUUUUAAGUAUGUGUGUAACCUAUGUUUAUACAUGUAGUAUUAUUCUGGAGUAAACUACUGUAACUGGGCUGGG